UGCCAAAACCAGCACCGUAUUCCUGGUGGAUCCAGCUCAAAGCAUCAAAGAGCUUGAUGACUCCGAACAUGCUGCCAAAAGAAUACAGGAGUACUUCAAGAUGAGGAGGACACGCCACAGCAUAACAGACUGGGUGGAUGUUAAGUGGAAGGGAGGCGUUAUGGGCCACCCACUUCAAAAGGAUGGAUGUAGCUGUGGUGUCGUUGUUGUGAAGAUGGCAAAGGCAGUCAUGGAGUCCUUCCCUCUGAUCCCGAAUGUGAAUUUUGAGUGUUCGAAGAAAUACAUGAAACGG